rnacentral:rRNA from 1 species
CUCGCCUUCUGCCAGCGAUCUGGGGGCUCCCAGUUCUAGCAAUCCAUCAUUCAGCUCCUCCCUGUCCUCCGGAUCGGGACCUUGAUCGAGAUUGGUUCCGGCACCGCCACGCUGUUCUGGUUCGAUCGCUGGACUGGUGACACGCCCCUUGCGGCCCGCUUUCCAGACCUGUUCUCCAUCGCGGUUGCCCCGCAGAUCUCCGUAGCGACCGCCCUUGGUGACUUAGGGUGGCUUGCGUUCCGGAGGCCUUUUGGACCGGCUGAGAAUGCAGACUGACAGGAGUUGCUUGACUGUAUUGCACUCCAUGAGCCUGAUCUCACGACAGACGAUGACCGCGCCAGAUGGCGCCUUGAGCCGUCUGGGCAAUUCUCCACCAAAUCACUCUACUGGGCCAUCGCCCCCUCGCUCGGCCAUGAGGCGCUCUCCUCCAUUUGGGAGAUUCGCCUUCCCCUGAAAAUUACGAUCUUCUUGUGGCAAUGGAUUCGCGGCCGCCUCCCAUCUGGCGUAGAGGUUCUGAAGCGCAAUGGCCCUGGUGAUGGGCGUUGCCCGCUCUGUGGGCCUGAAGAAGAUUCGAACCAUAUCUUCUUCACCUGCGUGUCCGCGCAGUUCCUAUGGAGCUGUUUCCGCGAGAUUGUGGGCGGAAGCUGGGACCAUAACAACUUCCCCUCUCUCUUUGCCGAACUCCAGGCGAUCCCCCCCGUGUUGCACCACAUUAGGUGGCUGACCAUUGGAGUUCUUGCCUGGACGCUGUGGACUGUUAGGAAUAAACUUGUGAUUCAGCGUAUUCCUCUUCGUCGUGCUACUGACGCUUUGUUCAAGUGGUCUGGUUACUUGCAGCUUUGGCGGCCGCUUAGCCGUCCCAGGGAGAGAGACGCCAUCACCUCCAUCAUCACCCAGCUUCACGCGAUGGCUCUCCGGUUGGCUCCACCACUUCCCCCGCCACCACCAGAACCAGAUUAG